UACGGAGGGGGCUAGCGUUGUUCGGAAUUACUGGGCGUAAAGCGCGCGUAGGCGGACCUGCAAGUCGGGGGUGAAAGCCCGAGGCUCAACCUCGGAACUGCCUUCGAUACUGCGGGUCUCGAGUCCGGGAGAGGUGAGUGGAAUUCCUAGUGUAGCGGUGAAAUGCGUAGAUAUCUGAAGGAACAUCAGUGGCGAAAGCGACUUCCUGGACCAAUACUGACGCUCAUGUGCGAAAGCGUGGGGAGCAAACAGG
rnacentral:rRNA from 1 species